GUUGAACGCUGGCGGCAGGCCUAACACAUGCAAGUCGAGCGGAUGAAGGGAGCUUGCUCCUGGAUUCAGCGGCGGACGGGUGAGUAAUGCCUAGGAAUCUGCCUGGUAGUGGGGGAUAACGUCCGGAAACGGGCGCUAAUACCGCAUACGUCCUGAGGGAGAAAGUGGGGGAUCUUCGGACCUCACGCUAUCAGAUGAGCCUAGGUCGGAUUAGCUAGUUGGUGGGGCAAAGGCCUACCAAGGCGACGAUCCGUAACUGGUCUGAGAGGAUGAUCAGUCACACUGGAACUGAGACACGGUCCAGUCUCCUACGGGAGGCAGCAGUGGGGAAUAUUGGACAAUGGGCGAAAGCCUGAUCCAGCCAUGCCGCGUGUGUGAAGAAGGUCUUCGGAUUGUAAAGCACUUUAAGUUGGGAGGAAGGGCAGUAAGUUAAUACCUUGCUGUUUUGACGUUACCAACAGAAUAAGCACCGGCUAACUUCGUG
rnacentral:rRNA from 1 species